AUAAUAUUCCCUCCAGCUCGUAUAACUCUGGCCCCAAAAAAAUAUCUUGAGGGAACUCUAUAUAUACCAAUAGAUUUGAUAGGAAGAAGAAAAAAAAAAGGAAACCUAGAGAUAAAAAUAGCUAAGCGGCGCAGCAGAAACUCCAGAAAACAAAAAAUAGUUGCACCUCUUUCUUUUUCCCCUUCAACUCAUCAUCAUCUUCAACCCACAAAAUAUCCAUGAAAACCACCAUCUUUCCUCCAUAAAACCCACUUGAAAAUAGCCUUUUAAACCUAGCAAAAACCACUCAAAAACAAGCGCAAAUCCAUCGUCAAACUCUAAGAAAAACUGUCCAAAACCCAGCAUUAAACUACAACCAAAUCAGCACCGAAAAUGCCCCAAAAUCCAUCUCCAAAGUGACUCAAAAUGUCACCCGAACCACCCCCAAAACUCAGCAAAAUCAGCCCCAAAAAUCAUCCGCAAAGCAGCUCCAAAGAGCAGCCAAAUCAGCUGAGAAAUUACUGGUAAAAAAACCUGUCCAAAACCCCCCAGAAAAGCUGUCCAAAAUUAGUGCCAAAAAUAUGACGAAAAACCGUCUGAAGCCAGCCACAAGCCUCCAUCAAAAUUACCACUUUAUACUCGAAAUAGUUGUCCAAAUCUAUUCGAGUCGGUAUCAUUUUCGUGUAGAUCUUGGUUUGAGUUCGCCAUUGAAGUUACGGUCGAUUGGUUCUAUAGCAUUUGAAGGUCCCUGUUUUGCUCUUGCUUCGGUCAAAUUGUAGUUGUUGUUUCCUUGUAUUUUGACAUUGGCAGCGGUGCUUCAAUGUAAAGGAAGUUUCCAGUAAUAAAGUCCAAUAUUUAAACUUAUGUUAUCUCAAUUUUGUCCUGCUAGCAUAAUGAAUGAUUCUGGUUAUUUGUUGCUAUUCCAUGUUAUCUUGUCUUUCGUAGUAGUCUUAAUUAGCUGGUCUUUUGUCUUAAGCUAUGACUUGAUUUGUGAGAUUCAUGCUCAGCUCAUUAUUUACAACUUAAUAUCUGUUAUAUGUUGAUUUGCUAUCUCCCCUUGGUAUAGUUAAUACAUUAGCAUCAUGGUUCAUUAAAGAAGCUACUGUUUGAAUUCAUGGGAAGUGUAGGACAGUUAAUCGUGUUGGGUUUUUGUAAUUCACGGGUUUAUGGUAAUUGAUUUAAUUUUGGGCUUUACUUUAUCCUUACCCUUUAAUAUUCGGGUCAUUAGCACUUGGUUUGAGAUAAGCGAUUUGGCCUAUUUUACAUAACUGAUAAUUGCUAGAUUAGUCUAAAUAGCUUAAUAAACUUCAUGUAUUCCAAACACCUCCAAUUUCAUAAGUCAUGGCCUUACAACAACCUUAAAACUAGUUUAGGAAAAUAAUCACACAACUGCAGUUUGCUUUAGGCGCGGUUAAUAAAUCAUUGUGGCCAUGUGUACGGUUCCCGUAGCAUGGUCACGAUACAUAUUUUCCAAUUCAGGUGUGCAUUUUAUAUGACCCGACCACAACUUAAAACAAUAUAAAAAUAAAUAUGUUGUAAAUCGCGGGUGCAUUUCAUGUGGCGCAGUUUGCACUAUGUACCAAAGACAAGUGUACGACAUCGUGACUUGUUCCAAAAAUAAUUCCAUAAAUAAAUAAAAGCAGUUAUAGAGUUAAAAAUACACACACAUUUAAAAUAUGUAAUAAAUCAGAUAAUUAGGCCAAUUAUCAAUAGUUGAGCGACCGUGCUAAAACUACGGAAUCCGGGAGUGCCUCACACCUUCUCCCGGUUUAACAGAAUUCCUUACCGAUCCUCUGUGUUCGCGGACCAAAACUAGAGUCAAUUUCCUCGAUUUGGGAUUUAAAAUAAAUCGGUGACUUGGGACACCAUAAACUAUUCCAAGUGGCGACUCUAAAAAAUUAAAUAAAUAAUCUCAUUUCGAUUAAUGUCACUUUAAUUGGAAAAACUUUCCUAUACCCGUCAGAAAAAAGGAGGUGUGACAGCUCUGGCGACUCUGCUGGGGAAACAAACCUAGAACUUAUGGUUUAGAGUUCAGAAUUCGAGCUUAGAAUAACUGUUAUAGUUGGCUUUUAUUUAUUAUCUAAUUUUUUUUACGUGUUUUAGCUUGAUGUGCUAAAUGCCACUUUUUACCGCUUUGAUAUUAUAUGAACUGUAUAUAAACUAUUACAAAAUCCUUCUUCUCUCUGAGUCUUCUAAAUCUUCUGGGAAGUGCACACUGGCGUGACUUCUUUUCUGUUAGAGUCAUACCCUAAUUUAGAACGAGGAUCAGAUCAGUUACAAAGCCGGAUGGCCUUUUGGUUAUCGGUACGUUGCCCCUUUCCCCCCCCCCCCCCUCCCCGGCUCGAGUUGUCUACUCGGGUAAGCCAGGAGAAUAAUACACCCAGGUUUUAAACCUAGAAUAACAUAGCCUCAUGCCGGAUUCCUAGUAGGAACGCUUGCAUUUGACUUUGGGGACUCAACACAGGGUUUGGUUCCGUCUAGGACAGGUGUAACCGAAAUAAAAAGACCAUCCUGAUGCAUCUUACGUGCUACUUGCGCAUCUGUUUGUUUUGGCUUACGUGCUGACUGGCUUUUAGAAUGGGAAAAGAAAAAUAAAAAAAUAGAGAAAAUAAUAAAUAAAAACAAGAGUGAGAGGUAGGUAUUAAAAAAAUCAAAACUCUGCCGAAAUUUUGAAGAAAAUAAAAGAGAAAGAAAAUAAGAUAAUGUUUUCAAAAGAUCAUGUUUCCCUUGUUCCGUCAAAACAGACUGAACUACGCGGGUCUAAUUCUCAUCGGAUGUGAGAUACGUAGGCAAACUUUAUCGGUUCCAGCCCCAAUUUCUAAAAAUUCAAAAAUAUUUUCCUUUAAUUCCUUCAUUAGAAGCAUUUCCUUAGAAAAUUCAAAAGAAAAAGAUUUUUAAACUCAAAAAAAAUAGUUUUCUUCUUUCUGAAGUCUUUCAUACGGAAAAAAAAAAACAACAAAAUCCAAAAUACAGAUUUCCUUUAUUUUAAAGUAUUUUUCCCAAAAAUUCAAAAAAAAAUCAAAAAAAAAGAAUCCAAAAAAUAUUCUUAUCCUUCUUUAAAAAUCUUUCUUUCGUAAAUAUCAUAAAAUAAUUGAAACGUUGAAGUCCAAAAAUAUUUUUGUUUUUCUUUAGAAGUACUUUUGUAAUAAAAAAAAACUCAGAAAUCCAAAAUAUUUUCUUAGCCCCUCUUUCGAAAAUUAAGAGGCAACAUCCAAAAUUCAAAAACAUUUUCUUUCUUCUUUAGAAAAAGAGAAAACAAAUGAAAAUUCAAAAAAUAAUCUUUUUACUUUUGAAAUUCCCAAAGUUCAAAUCAAAGAAAAGGAAUUUUUAGAAGUCUUUCUUUCAAAAAAAAAAUCAAAAUUAAAAAUCCAAAAAAUAUUUCUUUUUUUAUUUUAAAGCAUUUUUUUUAAAACUCCAAAAUAAAUACAAAAAAAAUCAAAAAAAUAUAUAUGUUUUUCUUUUUCUUAAAGCUUUCAUGGUCCGAGUUUUAUAAAAAGUAAACAAAAAAAGUGAGUUAGUUUAAUUACUCUAUUCUCGAUCUUCCUGAACUAUGCAAGAUCUUAUUCAUGCUGCAUCAUGAUACUUAGGCAAUCCCCAUCGGAUUCGAUCAUAGCUAUAAAAUAAAUUGAGUGAAAAAUAAACUAAAAAAAUUGAGUGAAGAAGAAAGAAAUGAGUGAAAAAAAAGGAAUGACAAAACAAAAAGAGAACAAGAGAGUGCCAAAUAUAAAAGAGCGACAGAAACAAAAGGAAAAAAAUCAAAAGUGAUUAAAGAGAGGUAGAAAUAAAAGAAAAGAGGUACAUACUGAAAGGAUUAGUUGAGGCCGGGAUGAAACAUGCAACCGUUAGUUAAGGCCCGGAUGAAACAUGCAACCGUUCAAACACAUGGUAGAAGCAUUUAACUGUUAGGUGCAUUGCAUCCCAACUUGCGAUUUCCUAUAUGCUAAAUGUUUCAAAACUAACAAGGUUGUUGGGUGUGCAAAUUAGCCAGGUUCUGUUCAGGUGGUUAGUUUUGUUGAUAAUCUGGCUUUCCAUCCUUACUUCACAAGAUCCAAAGGCAUGGUUCCUAUGGCCUCGGUCCCACCAUACUAUUAUCCCUUUCAAGAUGUUGCUUAUGUUGUGGCACUGCCUCCCUACGCGGUGAUGAGCAUGCAACCUUACAUGCGGCCACAACAUUAUACACAAAAACAAGAUCCACCUCCCAGAAAUGCCCAUCCUUGCCAAGCUUCAAAUAAUCCCAACCAAAUGUCCCCCAGUACAACCCCCCUCCCCCCAAGAGAGCCUUUCAGAAAGAAUCAGUUCACCCCUAUUGGUGAAUCAUAUUCGGGCUUGUUCCAAAAGCUAGUCAGGCGAGGUCUGCUGUAGCCAGUGGCCCCAAACCAGCCAAACCCCGAGUCUCCCUCACACCAAGCGAUGCCAUAUGUGAAUACCACUCCGCAAUGGGACACAGUACAGAGGGCUGUUGGACCCUCAAAAGGGCAAUUGAAGACUUAAUCGAAGCUGAAAUAAUCGUUCUUCGGGACGAAAAAGGCUCCUAAUGGACAAAUAAUCCAUUGCUUGCUCACAACACCAGGCCAAUAGUCGGAAUGAUUCGUGAAAAGAGGAAUUUGAUCCAGCACUAAAGGCCAUUGCAGCCAUUGUCGAGACAGAAGAAAAUCCAAAAAGCGAUCGACAAGCUUGAAAGUUCCCCAUCAGAUGGGAGUCUCGAUAGCCAGUCUUGCUAUAUUUUCUGCGUUCGGAUUAUCUCAGGGUGUGAUCCGGAUGUUUCACUUUCCGAUGUAAACCCUUAUAUCUUUAAAAUUCAAAAAAAAUCAAAUAAAAAAGAAAUCAUUUCAUUACCUAGGAAUGUCUCUUUUCUUAUUGUAACUUUUCUUAUUCUCUUUUUAAUUCUGUUAAAUGCAGAUUUCAAUAACAUGACAUGCUUGCGGACUUCAUGCCCAGAUCCUAAAACGCUGUCAGACCUCGAAAUAAUGAAUCAAAAAAUAGAUUGUAAUGAAGAUAAGUUUUAGGAAAUAAAACAAAGAGUUGGAACAACUAAAGAAAAAUUGGCUCCAGAUUGUAAAGAUCCAUACAUGGUAACAAGGGUACUUCCAAAAAGAGCGUUGUACCUGGGAAACAUCCAAAGAAAUGUCCCUAAAACAACUACCAAUGUAGGUUCAGUCAAAAGGUACUAUGUUUGAUCCUCUAUAUAGUAUUAACGCUCCGAUUGGGAUGAAGAAGGCUUUUAUUUUCGCUAACUAAAUACCAUUAACCCUUUUUUAAUCUCUUUGAGCCGGUUCCCUUUCUUUGAUUACCCUCUUUGGAAUCUGAAAGUGUUAUUGAAAAAAAAUGAAAGAAUGAAAUGAAAAAUGAAAAACAAAAUGAAAAAAGAGAAGAAAAAGAAAGAUACAAAAAAGGGAAGAAAAGGCAAAAAGAAAAUGAAAUGAAAAAUGAAAAAAAAAAGAGGAAAAAGGAAAGGAAAAAGAAAGAGAAAACAAAAGAAAAUAGAAAAACAAAAGAAAAAAAACAAAGUUCCUUGAACUUGUUCAACUUGAUUCCAAAAGGAUACGUAGGCAGACUCUCUCUGGGGUUCAGUCACACCAAAAUAAAAAUCCAAAUUCCUCUAAUUUGAAACUGGGGCAGAAGUUAUAAUGGUUUGACGAUGGUUUCGCCCGAAAGGUUCCAAAGUCAUAACUCUAUCCAAAUCCUUUUUACCCAAACCUUAUUCAAGUCCUUCUGAUCAAUCGGCAAAGAUGUUCAAAAUGGGAGGAUACAGUUACUUGGAUCUGACACAACAAAAUGAGAGAAUUAAAAUGAAAGUCUUAUCGGUGAAAACUCUCACGGGCAACAUAAGGUGAUGGUAAGCAGAGAAAUGGAAAAUAAGAGAGUCUUGUUAGUGAAAACUCGCAAAGAGCACUAUAAUACGAUGGUGAGAAGAGAAAUAAGAGUGGUCAGAUAGUGAAAACCCGCAAAGGGCACCACUGAUCAAAAAAGAGGAUAUUCGGUCACUGACAUUGACACAGUCCUGGGCAUGGUUUCUCGAUUUCGAGGCAAAAGUUGUGAUGAAUUUCUGAGAGUCAGACGGUUUGCACGGAUCAGGCAUCCAGUCCAAAAGGCGUGUCAUAUUCGUUGAAGUCCGCAUGUACUCUAGAUAAGUCCUUCUUUCCUUUCCUCAAAAGGGACGUCUUGUAUAAAUUCAUUUGUCCAUUCCAUUGUUUAUUUUUCCUUUGAAUCCCUUUCGGUCUAACUCUAUUUUGAAACUGAGACAAAGAAGGUUUACAGGGUUCUCAUUUGAUACAAGCUAAUAUGCAAAAAAGACACCCAGCCUCGUCAGGGGCAUCAAGUCGACCUCGACCGGCCAUGACGGCCAAUGCUUCGAAAUCAAAUCGAAGUGCCUAUAAAGGUAAAUGAAGUUGAAAAGGUUAAGUUCCACGUGGCUAAUAGUCUCGGCAAAAAUUUGAAAAAGCCAAGGGAUCCCAAAUGCUCUGAAACUAAAGUUGGAAUAAAGAAGCCAAAAAUGAAAGGCCUAUGAAGGCGAAAUAAAGUUGGAAAAGAUUAAGUCCUACGCGACUAGCCGUCGCGACAAAGUUUGAGGAGCCAAAAGUUCCUCAAUGCUCCGAAGUUUUAAAAAAACAACAAGUCAGAAGGGAAGGGCCUAUAGAAGCAAAAUAAAGUCAAAAAGGUUGAGUCCCAUCGACCAAUCGUCAUGCAAAUUGUGGAAAAGCUAGAGUUUCUACAGGGUCAGAAAUGCAAUCGGUAUUCAGGAAACAAUCAAGCCGAGAUCAAGUGGUUAAAAUAAUCAAGGCCACAAAACCAACCACCGUUUUAAACUGACAAAUUGUUUUUUGUUUGAAAAAUAAGAAACAGGUGCAAUGCACAAGCAAACUUGCAAGAAGCAGGUGCUACCAAAAAGAAACUGCGCAAGAGCUAAAAAACAGCUUUGCAGCAACAACUCCAAAAAGGGAAGUCUCCUCCAAAAUUCUUUCCGGCAUUUACUCAUUCUAUGAAAUAAAAAAAAUAAGAAAAAAAACGAUGAUGAAAAUAAAUAAAGAAAAAAAAAGAAGAAGAGAAACUCAAAAUCAUAGUAGUAUAGGGUCUCCAAUUCCUAGCUGUGUCUUUUCCAAAAUAGGGUCCCACUUCCUAGUUGAUGCGGGCAUAACCCGAUGACUUUUCCAACAUAGAGUCUCACUCCCUAGUUGAUGCCGGCAUAACCCCAUGACUUUUUCAACAUAGGGUCCCACUCCCUAGUUGAUGUCGGCAUAACCCCAUGACUUUUCCAACAUAGGGUCUCACUCCCUAGUUGAUGUCGGCAUAACCCGAUGCCAGCAAAACCUAAUGCCAACAUAGGGUAACCACUCCCUAGUUGAUGCCAGCAUAACCUGAUGCCCACAUAGGGUCACCAUUCCCUAGUUGAUGCCGACAUAGGGUCUCCACUCCCUAGUUGAUGUCAGCAUAACCUGAUGCCAACAUAGGGUCACCACUCCCUAGUUGAUGAUUUUCCAACAAUAGAGUUUCCAAUCCCUAGUUGAUUUUAUUUUAGAUAUAUGGGUCUCCACUCCUUAAUAUCUUUUUCCCAAGGAUACACAAUCUCGACAUUUUAUUUGCUUUUAAUAAUGAAGUAGUAUAGAGUUUUGCUACCAAUAACUCACGAAAGUUUCCUAGUGAAAACUGGGGCAGAAAUAUUUUGUUCGUUUGUUUGUUUGGGUGCCUGAGCAGGUUUUACCUCGAGGCACGGGUUCGAGACGACUAAAAGAAGAAGUCUCAAUCCAAAAUAAAAGAAAAAGAAGAAAAGAAAUGAAGUGAACACAAUUCAGAAGCGGAGAAAAGAUGUGGACUGCUCAAGAAAUGAUUAAUAUCACAAGCUUUGCAUGUCACGCCUUGAUCCGAGAAGCUGAAAAGAAUGAACCAGCACCUAUAGCUAACAAGCAUCAAGAUUCGGAUCAGAGUCUACGUGAAGAACGAGCUAAGACUCAAGAUCAAGCUUCAAAAGACUCAUAGAUAGGAAUCCUGUAACUUGUAGCUGAUAGGCUUAGUUAGUUUUUUUCAUUUUGACUUUGAUGUAAUAGCAGGACCACGGACCGGAUCCUCGACGGGACCUCACUCGACACUCGAACUUGGCAUUCCAUCAUUCUCCUUGAACUACACGCGACCUGAUUCUCAUAUGACCCAGGAUAUGUAGGUUGUCCAAAACAAGGACUCGGUUGCACUCUUUUCUUUUAGUUUCUUCCCUUUUAAUAAUAAAAAAUAAAUAAUGGUUUGGUCAAAAAUUAGUCAUAUCGCUCAUCUUUUCUUUGCCUGAAAACUCUUCAUGUUUCCAAGCAACGAGGGGCAUGCUGUAAGCACCUAAUUUUUGACCAUAUUUUAAUUUUUCACCACUUUUUCGUAUGUAAAUAUUUUUUAAGUUUAACCUACGCAUUUUAGCUCUUGUUUUACCUUUUUAUAGGUUUUACUUAGAAAUUGAAAAUGAUGAAAAAGAGUCACAUUUUUUUGAUAAAUUUUGUUUUCAUUUACAAAAGAAAAAGAACAAAUUAAAAUUUUGUUAAGACUACUAAUAUGAAAUUUUCUUUAGUAGAUUUCUGUAUUUUUCUAGUCUAAACGUAUUAAUGUAGUAUUUUGAUUUUAGAUUAUCUUGAAAAGAAAGAAUUAAUAAAAAAUGAUGAUACAAUUAGGUUCUGCCACUUAAAAUAACUAGCAAGAUUCUAUUAGACCAUGAUCAUAUUUUGUCUUGAUUCUCGUGGACACACUCACAUUUUUCUUUUAUAUAUUUUUCCUCCUCACAUGUUACACUACACUUUUCAUUUCUUAAUUUACUAAGCUCACGUACUAACAGUUAAUUCAAUUGGAGUCACUCACCUCACGCGCACUCAUGCUACAAUGCUAGGAGUCCAUAUUUUGUUCUUAUCUUUUUUGGUAUCUAACAAAUUGUGAGCGCCACAGGAUCUUCCACCCACUUUCUCCACACAUAUCCAUUGCACAUAAUAUUCCCUCCAGCUCAUAUAACUCUGGCCCCAAAAAAAAUCUUGAGGGCACUCUAUAUAUAUCAACAGAUUUGAUAGAAAGAAGAAGAAAAAAAAAGGAAACCUAGAGAUAAAAAUAGCUAAGCGGCGCAGCAGAAACUCCAGAAAACAAAAAAUAGUUGCACCUCUUUCUUUUUUCCCUUCAACCCAUCAUCAUCUUCAACCCACAAAAUAUCCAUGAAAACCACCAUCUUUCCUCCAUAAAACCCACUUAAAAACAGCCUUUUAAACCUAACAAAAUCCACUCAAAUCCAUCGUCAAACUCCAAGAAAAACUGUCCAAAAAUAAAAUUAAACUACAACCAAAUCAAACCCGAAAACGCCCCAAAAUCUAGCUCCAAAGUGACCCAAAACGUCACCCAAACCACCCCCGAAACCACCUCAAAACAGGCCCCCAAAACUCAGUAAAAUUAGCCCCAAAAAUCAUCCACAAAACAGCUCCAAAGAGCAGCCAAAUCAGCUGCGAAAUUGCUGAAAAAAACCAGUCCAAAACCCCCAGAAAAGUUGUCCCAAAAUCAGUGCCAAAAAUCUGACAAAACACCAUCCGAAACCAGCCACAAGCCUCCAUCGAAAUGACCCCUUUAUACUCGAAAUAGUUGUCCAAAUCUAGUCGAGUCAGUAUCAUUUUCGUGUAGAUCUUGUUUUGAGAUCGCCAUCGAAGUUAUGGUCGAUUGAUUCUAUAACAUUUGAAGGUCCUUGUUUUGCUCUUGCUUCGGUCAAAUUGUAGUUGUUGUUUCCUUGUAUUUUGACAUUGGCAGCGGUGCUUCAAUGUAAAGGAAGUUUCCAGCAAUAAGGUCCAAUAUUUAAACUUAUGUUAUCUCAAUUUGGUCUUGCUAGCAUAGUCAAUGAUUCUGGUUAUUUGUUGCUAUUCCAUAUUAUCUUGUCUUUCGUAGUAGUCUUAAUUACCUAGACUUUUGUCUUAAGCUAUGACUUGAUUUGUGAGAUUCAUGCUCAGCUCAUUAUUUACAACUUAAUAUCUGUUGUAUGUUGAUUUGCUAUUUCCCCUCGGUAUAGUUAAUGCAUUGGCGUCAUGGUUGAUUAAAGAAACUAUUAUUUGAAUUCAUGGGAAGUGUAGGAUAGUUAAUCGUGUUGGGUUUUUGUAAAUUUUCGGGUUUAUGGUAAUUGAUGUAAUUUUGGGCUUUACUUUAUCCUUACCCUUUAGUAUUCGGGUCAUUAGCACUUGGUUUGAGAUAAGUGAUUUGGCCUAUUUUACAUAAACAGAUAAUUGCUCGAUUACUCUAAAUAGCUUAAAAACUUCAUGUAUUCCAAACACCUCUAUUUCCAUAAGUCAUGGCCUUACAACAAACUUAAAACUAGUGUAGGAAAAUAAUCACACAACCGUAGUUUGCUUUAGGCGUGAUUAAUAAAUCAUCCUGGUCAUGGGUACGGUUCCCGUGGCAUGGUCAUGAUAUAUAAUUUCCAAUUCGGGUGUGCAUUUUAUAUGACCCGACCACAACUAAAAACAAUAUAAAAAUAAACAUGUCGUAAAUCGCGGGUGCAUUUCAUGUUGCGUGCUUUGCAAUGUGUACCAAAACGACAAGUGUACGACAUCGUGACUUGUUUCAAAAAUAAUUCCAUAAAUAAAUAAAAGCAGUUAUAAAGUUUAAAAUACACAACAGGUUUAAAAUAUGUAAUAAAUUAGAUAAUUAGGCCAGUUAUUAAUAGUUGAGCGACCGUGCUAAAACUACGGAAUCCAGGAGUGCCUCACACCUUCUCCCAGGUUAAUAGAAUUCCUUACCCGGUCUUCUGUAAUCGCAGACCAAAAAUAAAGUUAAUUUCCUCGAUUUGGGAUUUAAAAUAAAUCGGUGACUUGGGACACCAUAAACUAUUCCAAGUGGCGGCUCUAAAAAAUCAAAUAAAUAAUCUCAUUUCGAUUAAUGUCACUUUAAUUGGAAAAACUCCCCGAUCUCCUUCGGGAAAAAGGUCUGUUACUUCUUCCGAUAAGGACCAUGCUGCUUAGGCUUUGUAAUUUUUGUAAUUUUUCGUUUUUGUUUUGAGGCCGAUUGGCCCUUAUAAAUAACUCUUAAUCGGGCCAUAUGGCCCUUGUAAAAAGAGUUUUGAGAUAUAUGUAAAAACUUUAUUUCCUUC
rnacentral:lncRNA from 1 species